GCCAGCAUGGUGUAGUGGUUUGAGCAUUGCACUACAACUCUGGAGACCAGGGUUCAAUUCCUUGCGUGGCU
rnacentral:tRNA from 1 species